rnacentral:rRNA from 1 species
CCUACGGGUGGCAGCAGUGGGGAAUAUUGGACAAUGGGUGAAAGCCUGAUCCAGCCAUGCCGCGUGUGUGAAGAAGGCCUUCGGGUUGUAAAGCACUUUCAGUGGGGAAGAAAGCCUUGGGGCUAAUACCCUCGAGGAAGGACAUCACCCACAGAAGAAGCACCGGCUAACUCCGUGCCAGCAGCCGCGGUAAUACGGAGGGUGCGAGCGUUAAUCGGAAUUACUGGGCGUAAAGCGCGCGUAGGCGGUCUGAUAAGCCGGUUGUGAAAGCCCCGGGCUCAACCUGGGAACGGCAUCCGGAACUGUCAGGCUAGAGUGCAGGAGAGGAAGGUAGAAUUCCCGGUGUAGCGGUGAAAUGCGUAGAGAUCGGGAGGAAUACCAGUGGCGAAGGCGGCCUUCUGGACUGACACUGACGCUGAGGUGCGAAAGCGUGGGUAGCAAACAGGAUUAGAUACCCUAGUAGUC